rnacentral:lncRNA from 1 species
AUGCAUUCUCCUUCACUUGUUAUAACUAAAUAGCUAUUUGUUACUUCUAGUAAAGUGGUAGCCAGCAUAUAGUAUAGAUAGUGGUGGGAUGGAGUCAGCUAGGACCAGCUGUGAGAGGUGAUUUUUUUUUUUUUUUUGGAAUUCUGCAAGGCAAUAAGCAUAGUGAUUAUUAAAAAUUAAAUUAUAUAAAAUUUCAGGAGUUACCGUCGUGGCUCAGCAGAAACAAAUCUGACUAGUAUCCAUGAGGAUGAAGGUUCAAUCCCUGGCCUAGCUUAGUGGGUUAAGGAUCUGGUGCUGCCAUGAAUUGUGUUGUAGGUCUCAGAUGCGACUUCAAUCUGGCAUUGCUGUGGCUGUAGUGUAGGCCAGCAGCUACAGCUCUGAUUCAACCCUUAGCCUGGGAACCUCCAUACACCAUGGGUGUGGCCCUAAAAAAAGACACACAAAAUCAAUAAAUUGCAUUAAAAUCAAAGGUAACAAAUCCUCAAAAUUCAUCACUUUCUAGUAAUUUUACUAUUAUCUAUACUAUUGUAUGUGGGGUAGGAGUACUGUUUAAUGGUUUCCUAUGGUAGAUUUCUUUCCAACUUGGUGUUCAGUGAUGUUGUAUUGGUAGCUUGAAAUCAGUCAUGGUGAGAAGAUUUACACCACAGAAAUUGGAAAAUAUUAUAAAUCCAGGUUUUCCCCUGAAGAGCCUGUUAAACAUUUUUUAGAAGACCCAAUGUGUAUGAGCCAUUUUCUCAGGUUCUCCCUAUCCCUGAAGAUAAUUGUUCUUGUUCUGCAAUAACAACAUUCUCCUAUCUCAGGAGCUUUUGAAUCUCCAGGGCUAAAUUGCUUGCAUUUUAUAUAAUGCCAUAGCAAGAUAAGAGCAAGUAUUUCUUCAACACUCACAAUCCACAGUGGGAAACAGAUAUGUUUCCCAUUAUUCUGCCUUUUGAGAAGCUUGAUGAUGGAGCUGAUGCUGUGUUCAGAUUAACUACGUGAGCAGAAGAGGUGGGGGAAGGGGGAAGACAAAUGACUUGUUUUUUCAAUACAGCUGCUCCAGCUAUUGUCUUUAAUUACACUCCUGCUGGACUGAUAAGGGAACUGGCUUCUGGCAGCUGCCACGCCAUGAAGCUUAAUAUUUCUUUUUGGGUCUAAGUGAUGUCUUGUGCACUAAGGAACAUAGAAAUGAAUUAUUUUUGAGAGUCAUGAUUGGCUGUGUUUCUCCUAUGUUUAGGGCCUUAAUUUCCUUAAAGUGACAUGGCCCCCAUUUGGAAGUUUACUUAUUACAUCUAGUGAGGUAGGAGAUUUUAGCAGUUAAAAUGUUGAUGCAUUUUUCAAGCUUUUCAACCUACUUCUUAUUCCUGUGCCUUUUUACUCGGCAUUUAAACAAUAAGCUGGUAUCUGCUUGAAGACAUAACUGAUAAUUAUCUUGGUGUCUUUCCAGUUUGGCCAGAAUUCAUCUAGGUGCUUCUGAAUAUCCCCAUAAUGCGAACCCAAAGCAAAGACAUAUGAUGUAGAGAGCAUGUGCUGUUUAAUUUUUUUGUUUUUUUGGAUAAAAAAAGAACAGUAGCAGAAUCCCAUGUUUCAGUCUUUUACCCUUGUUAUCCUCACUUCCUUUAUGGUAAGUGGCCAAAUGGCCAAGGGAAAAAGCAUUAUAGAAAAGCAACAUGUGCUACUGUGUGACCCAAGUGCCAGGAAGCAUGGCCUGGAGAAAAGAUACAACUGCUGCCCUUAUUGUGAGCUGCAGGGUAGAAAUUCUGAAGCAAUAAAAGUAACUGGUGAUUUCAUUUAUUAAAGUGUUUUGAAUUUAGAAUUUAGAAUCUACCAAAUGUGAUUAAAAAACUCUGUUCCCUAUCAGAGUGUUCUAGAGUAAUCUAUACAAAACUGGGUAUGAAAUAAUUAAACAUCUUAAGUGGGAUUUUAAACGGUUUUUCAUAGGGAAUGUCAUUGCCUCUGUGCUUCUGUCCAAGGAGGACGUCACUUCAACUUUCCACUUCAAGCAGAUAUUUAAUCUUCAUGGCAAAGAGCCUUUGAAAUAUGCUAAUCCAGUUGCCCAAACUCAGCUACAAAGCAGGGAUCAUGGAGGCUGAGAGAGCCAGCUGCACGGCACCGAGGGUGGAGGACCAGGGAGCUCCUGUACCAAGCUUGUGCAUAGCAACCCCCAGAAUCUGUGGGAGGGAAGACAGGUGAGAUGGGUAGGGAUUUAGGGUAUAGUAAAAGCCGUCCUUUGAAUGAGUACUUGGCCAGAGACUAAAGUCUUAAUAAUAAGAGUCCGCAAAUAAACCUAAGACAGGCUGAUAUCCCAGUAGAGGACAGCUGAUGGGGUGGGAGCCACAUAUACUAGGCCAUUCAGAAGGGAGUCUAGACAGUGCCACUUGAGAAAGUCUGGCCAGUCUCUGGCCCUGCUAGUUAAUUCAGGCUAGUGUGGUGCAGAGGUUGUGGGCUUAGAAGUCAGAACACCAGGUUAAUAGCCUGGAUCGUCCAUGCGAUAACCAUGUGACCUGGUGUUUCUCUAAUUCAGGUAUGUUAUCUAUGAAAUAUAAAUCAUGAUAGCACACCUCCUGUCAAGCUCUUAGCAAAGUUUCUGAAGCCUAGUAAUUUCUCCUAAAUGUAGCUGCCUGAAUGCUAAUGCAAUUAUAUUAAUUCCAUGGUGAUGUGAGACUGAUAACAGAAUCCACUUAGUAUUUUAAUGGCUUUUAGUAUAUCAGCAUAGUUAGUGAACUAUAUCUUGUUCUUAUUACAAAAUGAAGGUUUAGAAAUUCCCUACAAAUCUUUCUGUACUCAUCACAGAGUUUCUAAGCAGAGGAUCCUUAGGGUGUUUUUCUACAACGAUACCUAGUUCAGGUGGACCCUACCUAACUAUCGGACAUGCCAGGGUGAAAACUAGAGUCACAUAAGCAGCCCCCUUAUAGAAUGCAGGCUUAGCAAAGUCUAUUUUUGUCUGCAUUUGCUACCAGUUGCCUUUGUUUGUAUCGUUGUGUGCCCCUCCUGUGUGAUAAGGCACAUGAGGACAUGUGUGACAGAGCAGGCACCUCUCCUCUUUUCCUCAUUCAUUAAUCAUCCAUGGAUUCAUGGAUUGACUGAUUGACUCAUUCAUGUAUUAAUUCAAAGAUGGUGAUUGACUGCCUUGAAUGCAUCAGUCACGGCCCUAAUCUCAUAAUUAUUUUCAAGAAAGUCAUAUCCAGUAGUGAAGACAGAAAAAGUAAACAGGAAAAUCAAAUCCAGUGCUACUCGCUAAGAAUAACCAUAGUGAAGACAUUUUAUAAUAAUGACUCAAUGAGAGCAGCUCCUAAUCAUAAUCAUAGGUCUUGGGAAAAAUUUUACUUAUACGACAAAUGUUUAUUUAACACCUAUUAUGUGCUAGACAAUCUUUAAAGAUCUAGGCGCAUAACAGUGAAAAAGACAAGGCUCCUGCUGCCAUAACUUUUACAUUAUCCUGGGGUGGGGGGAACAAAAUAAACACUAAAACAAAAAAUAUCAGAUAGGAAUAUACACUCUGUAAAGAAUUGAAAUAGGGAGAUGUUUUAAGGGGACAUUUGGAUGGCUGUUUUGUAUAGGGAAGACAGGAAAGACUCAAUGUGAAGGUGAUAUUUGAGAUGAGACUUAAAUAUUGAGAAAGAAAAUUAGGGGGAGAGCAUUUUAGGCAGAGAGAAAAGCUGGUACAAAUGUCCUAAUAUGGAAUUCCCAUCAUGGCUCAGCAGAAACGAAUCAGACUAGCAUCCAAGAGGUUCGAUCCCUGGCCUUGCUCAGUGGGUUAAUGAUCCAGCAUUGCCCUGAGCUGUGGUGUAGGUCGCAGACGCGGCUUGGAUCCUGCGUUGCUGUAGCUGUGGCUUAGGCCAGCAGCUACAGCUCCGAUUCGACCCCUAGCCUGGGAACCUCCAU